rnacentral:rRNA from 1 species
AAAAGCGGAGGAAAAGAAACUAACAAGGAUUCCCCUAGUAGCGGCGAGCGAAGCGGGAAGAGCUCAAAUUUAUAAUCUGGCACCUUCGGUGUCCGAGUUGUAAUCUCUAGAAAUGUUUUCCGCGUUGGACCGCACACAAGUCUGUUGGAAUACAGCGGCAUAGUGGUGAGACCCCCGUAUAUGGUGCGGACGCCCAGCGCUUUGUGAUACAUUUUCGAAGAGUCGAGUUGUUUGGGAAUGCAGCUCAAAUUGGGUGGUAAAUUCCAUCUAAAGCUAAAUAUUGGCGAGAGACCGAUAGCGAACAAGUACCGUGAGGGAAAGAUGAAAAGCACUUUGGAAAGAGAGUUAACAGUACGUGAAAUUGUUGGAAGGGAAACGCUUGAAGUCAGACUUGCUUGCCGAGCAAUCGGUUUGCAGGCCAGCAUCAGUUUUCCGGGAUGGAUAAUGGUAGAGAGAAGGUAGCAGUUUCGGCUGUGUUAUAGCUCUCUGCUGGAUACAUCUUGGGGGACUGAGGAACGCAGUGUGCCUUUGGCGGGGGUUUCGACCUCUUCACACUUAGGAUGCUGGUGGAAUGGCUUUAAACGACCCGUCUUGAAACACGGACCAAAAAAAU